GAGAGAUGACGUUAGAUUCUUUCACUCGAAGUGGAGCAGAGGGGGAUGUUGGGUUUAACAAGGAAAACACUGAAAACAGAGCGCCGCCUCAGCUCAUUGAGAUCAGCAUGGAAUUCAGGAAUCUUUCAGAGCACUUUUGUGAUGCUGCAAGUGGGAGUGGAUUUCUUGCUUAGCUGGAGACAGCAGAGAACCACAUCCUGUCGUCCUGAAAAAAAGAAAGAGACUACUUUCUCCAAAGAGAUCCAAACGCCAUUGGCACAGACUUUGUUAAGUGAUCAGUAACAUAUAAUUCAGCAAGGGCCGUCCUUAGGAGGUGCAACUGGUGCG